rfam:Stegodyphus mimosarum contig109175, whole genome shotgun sequence.
GCCUUCGUGGUGUAGUGGUCAGCACACUCGGCGCGUAUUGGAGAGGUCCGUGGUUCGAAUCCCGCCGAGGGCA